GGGAUAGAAUUCCAGGAGUAGCGGUGAAAUGCGUAGAUAUCUGGAGGAAUACCAAAGGCGAAGGCAGUCCCCUGGUCCGAUACUGACACUGAGGUACGAAAGCGUGGGGAGCAAACAGGAUUAGAUACCCUGGUAGUCCACGCCCUAAACGAUGUCGAUUAGCCAUUGGAAGGACCCCUUUUCCUUUCAGUGACGUAGCUAACGCGUUAAAUCAACCGCCUGGGAAGUACGACCGCAAGGUUAAAACUCAAAGGAAUUGACGGGGACCUGAACAAGCGGUGAAUGAUGUGGAUUAAUUCGAUGCUACGCGAAGAACCUUACCUACCUUUGACAUGGCCAAAGUUCUACCGAGAGGCGGAAGUACUCGUAAGAGGAUUGGCGCACAGGUGCUGCAUGGUUGUCGUCAGUUCGUGUCGUGAGAUGUUGGGUUCAGUCCCGCAACGAACGCAACCCUUAUCUUUAAUUGCUCCUAUUUUAACAGGCACUUUAAAGAAACUGCCAAUGAUAAGUUGGAGGAAGGUGGGGAUCACGUCAAGUCCGCAUGGCCUUUAUAGGUAGGGCUUCACACGUCAUACAAUGGUUAGAACAAAGAGCUGCAAAUUCGUAAGAAGGAGCCAAUCUCACAAACCUAACCUCAGUUCGAAUUGCGGUCUGCAACUCGAGCGCAUGAAGCCGGAAUCGCUAGUAAUCGUGGAUCAGAAUGCCACGGUGAAUACGUUCUUAGGUCUU
rnacentral:rRNA from 1 species